rnacentral:rRNA from 1 species
CAGCAGCCGCGGGAAUACGAAGGGUGCUAGCGUUGUUCGGAUUUACUGGGCGUAAAGCGCACGUAGGCGGACUUUUAAGUCAGGGGUGAAAUCCCGGGGCUCAACCCCGGAACUGCCUUUGAUACUGGGAGUCUUGAGUUCGAGAGAGGUGAGUGGAAUUGCGAGUGUAGAGGUGAAAUUCGUAGAUAUUCGGAGGAACACCAGUGGCGAAGGCGGCUCACUGGUCCAUUACUGACGCUGAGGUGCGAAAGCGUGGGGAGCAAACAGGAUUAGAUACCCGCGUAGUCCCUGUCUCUUAUAC